rnacentral:rRNA from 1 species
GCGGUCUGUAGUACAGGUUGCUGCAUGGCUGUCGUCAGCUCGUGCUGUGAAGUGUUGGGUUAAGUCCCGCAACGAGCGCAAACCCCUAUCAAUCUGUUGCCAGCAUUUAAGGUGGGGACUCAGAUGAGACUGCCGGUGACAAACCGGAGGAAAGGUGGGGACGACGUCAAGCCGAUCAUGGCCCUUAUGUCCUGGGCUACACGACGUGCUACAAUGGCCGGUACGAGAGUGAAGCGAAACCGCGAGGUGAAGCAAAACGCAGAAAAGCCGGUCUCAGUACGGAUUGGAGUCUGAAACUCGACUUCAUGAAGUUGGAAUCGCUAGUAAUCGCGCAUCAGCAUGGCGCGGUGAAUACGUUCCCGGGCCUU